rnacentral:misc_RNA from 1 species
UUCUUUUGUCCCACAACAAAUAACGGAACUAUCAUUUGACGACACUCGGUGCACCUCACGAAGCCUUCUCCACUCCUCAUCUUCGACCAUUCCUUUGGUUUAACAAUAACUCCAAACCUCCGAGGCUCCGACAAAGUAUCCAUGAGCUUCAGUUUAGCGCGCUUCUUCCUCCAAAUUGGAAAUUCUUCAAAAGCUGCAAAUAUCAGCAGCAGCAACUAUGGCUAUCUGCUUUCAACUCCCAACACACGCAAAUUUACCGCGAUUCCCACCACCAGAGCUCAUAAGUCGAUUGAGGAGCUGCUGGUGGUGGUUGGAGGCGGCGCUGCUGGGGUGUAUGGGGCAAUUAGAGCCAAGACUGUGGCACCUAAUCUUAAUGUGGUGGUUAUGGAGAAGGGAAAGCCUCUAUCCAAGGUGAAAGUAUCUGGGGGAGGCAGAUGCAAUGUCACAAAUGGGCAUUGUUCUGACCAUAUGAUUUUGGCAGAACAUUAUCCUAGGGGUCAUAGAGAAUUGAAAGGAUCUUUCUUCAACACACAUGGCCCAGUGGAUACCAUGUCCUGGUUUUCUGAUCAUGGGGUAGCACUGAAGGUUGUCAUGAAAACUGCCUAUAUUUUGUUACUUCCCUUAUUCUGUUAUUUAUGCUUAUGUGCCUAUAGAUUGAGGAUGAUGGAAGGGUGUUUCCCACCAGCAAUAGCUCGUCUUCAAUUAUUGAUUGUCUUCUAACCGAGGCAAAGCACAAGGGAGGUAGGUUUUUCUUAGCCCACAGUUCAUGUAUUUUAAUUUGCUGGCCUCAACUUAAAACUUAUGCAUUUUUAUAGCAAUCUCUCUUUCUUCCUGUUUCUUUCUUCUUUUUCUUCAAAGUAUCUGUUUGGCAUAAAGAUAAUAUUAUCAGUAACUCAAGGGUGUAAUCCCCAUUCUGAAUAACAUUUUAUGAGAUGUUGAUUUAUGAGCCUUCAAAGCUGGUCUUGUAACUCUUGGGAAGAUGUUUAUUUGUUCCUUUUGGGAUAUGAAUUUUAGACCAUUUAAAUAGGAGUCUUCUCAAUAUUGUGAAAAUUUUGAAAGCUAUUCAAUCUAAAAUGUGAGUUCCUCUAUUAGUUUCUCUACAAACUGGAAAAGUUGUAAUAAAUGCUUCUGUUGAUGCUGGUGGAAAGUUUCAUCUGAAGAUUGAGAAACGUACAGUUUUUGAAUCUGUUGAAGCUGAUUAUCUAUUGAUUGCGAGCGGGAGUAGCCGACAGGGUUAUAGUCUUGCAACUCAGCUUGGCCAUUCAAUUGUGGAUCCAGUACCAAGUUUAUUUACUUUCAAGAUUGAAGAUUCAUUGCUUGCAGAGUUGUCAGGGGUUACAUUUCCUAAAGUUGAAGCCAAGCUGAAAUUAGAAAAUGUCCAAAGGAAUAUUCCAUACCUUAAACAGGUUGGGCCUAUGCUAGUUACACAUUGGGGACUCAGUGGGCCAGUAAUUCUCCGGUUAUCUGCUUGGGGUGCUCGUGAUCUGUUUACUUCAGGUUACAAAGGCAUGCUUAUAGUGGAUUUUAUACCUGAUUUGCAUAUAGAAGACAUAAAGUCAAUCCUCAGUCAACACAAGAAUAAAUUUGCGAAGCAAAAAGCAGUCAAUUCAUUUCCUUCAGAAUUUGGCCUUGCAAAGAGAUUUUGGAAAUAUAUAUUGGAUCGUGAGAGUUUAAUUGGAGAUACCUUAUGGGCUUCCAUAUCAAAUAACUUUAUCAUUUCUAUUGCCGAUCUUUUGAAACAUUGUACAUUUAGCAUAAAAGGAAAGGGGCAAUUUAAGGAUGAGUUCGUCACUGCUGGAGGAGUUCCUUUGUCCGAGGUUCUCUCUUGGCCUGUUUGGCAUUGCUGUUUAGAAAAAUAUUUUUUUUAUAUACAUUAGUUAGAGAGUAUUUAAAAUUAAAUUUGUUAAGUUUUAAUUAUAAGAAUACUAAAAUAAUAAAAUGAUUUUUUCUAAAUUGUUUUUUUUAACAGCACCUAAAAUAGUGCUUUUUCCUGAAAAGCAAUUUUGUCCUUCCAAGUUCCAACCUCAAUGCUAAACAAGCACGCACAUACACACACACUCUCUCUCUCUUUCUGACACACACACAUACACGCGCACGCACACAAACACACAUAUUUACUUAAAAUAUAAAUGUUUUUUUUUUCUUUCAUGAAGAUCUACUUGAACACAAUGGAAAGCAAGAUAUGUCCGCGGCUAUUCUUUGCAGGAGAGGUACUGAAUGUUGAUGGGGUGACUGGUGGUUUUAAUUUCCAGAAUGCAUGGUCUGGUGGAUACAUUGCCGGUACAAGCAUAGGUGAACUAGCAGCAAUUGAAGAUACUCAAAAAGAGGGAGUUUUAUGAGAUGAAAAUUUAGUUCAUUAACUUCUUCAAUUAUAAGUUUAUGUAUGUGUACGUGAUUGACUCAACUCUUGCUUGUACAUGUACAAUUGAAUUGCAAAACAGACCUCAUUUUUUAUGUAUUCCCUUCUUCAUAUUCAAGUCUACAAAAUGCAAAUGAAUUUUAAGUCAUUAACAAAAUAUUUUGUCUGCUUUAGGUAUUUGUAGGUUCCUGUCAAUAAUGCUUCUAAGAUGAUCUUUAACUUCCUGGUUAGAUCAUCACAUCAUCACACAAAUAUAUAUAUAUAUAAAGCAAGAUGUUUUUCUUCUAUAGGCCUCCAAGUGUCACUUCUGAAUCACUCUAUUUGAUUUUGUAAAAUUGUUCUUUUAUCUAAGUUUACCUUUUUUUUUUAAGUAAUACGUAUUUUAAUUUAUGUAAUUAAUUAAUAAAAGUAAUUAUUUUUAUCAUUAUGUUGAUAUGGUUUUGAUAGAGAUGUUUUUGUUUCAACAGUCCCAGGUGCUAUUACUCUUUCUGGCCCAAGACCAUUCAAAGUUUAUACUAGAAGGAGGAACGAAGGAAGAGACAAGGAGUGUACUACACUGCUGCAAAUAGACAAGGAGAGUACUACACAGCUGGAAAUGGACGUUGGAGAGAAAUAUGGAGGAAGGAACAUGUGGCUGAAAGCAGUUACUGGAAGGGGAGGAAAACAGAAUAUAAGGGAUGGAGAAUAGAGAAGAAGCAUUCUGGAAUGACUGGGUAAUUUUGGGCAGAAUUGUUAUCUGAACGGGAAUCUUCCUGGGGGUUGGAUCAUCAGCCAUUUUAUCUUUCUUUUAUCUUCCUAUUUGGUAGUUGAAUCCAUCAAUGUAAUUGUAUUUCCUAAUGGUUGUAUUGUACAGAAGGUCUAUCAAACCUUUGUAUUACUUUAAUACAAUCAAUCAUAGAUCCUAUAUUGUUCUUGCUUGAGUUAAUUUUCUGUUGAUAAAUAUUCCUUACUCUACCAAUUUGGUCCGAUCUGCUGGAUCCAUAUGCCAAAAACAAGAAUGGAGGGAAGAAUGGGACAGGCAGAGAGGAAAGUAAGUACCAUCGAGGAAGCUAUAGCUGCUAUGCGCCUAGACCAAAAGCAGAGAUUUAGUCGAUUGGAAAAUAUGAUAGUAGCAAUGGCUAAGGACAAAACGACUGUCCUAGUGGGAGACUGUCGUGGUGGGAGAAACAUCAAAUGAAGGUACCUAAACAUUUUUGGGCUGAUGCAGCCUUCACGGCUUGUUUUCUAAUUAAUCGUAUGCCAUCUGUUGUCCUUCACGGUAACAUUCCUUAUAAUGUGUUAUUUCCCUCUUGAGUCUCUAUUUCCCAUUGAACCUCAUAUCUUUGGGUGCACUUGUUUUGCUCAUGAUGUUCGUCCGCAAGUUACCAAAUUGGAUCCCGAGUCUCUCAAGUGUGUCUUUCUUGGAUACUCUCGUCUUCAAAAGAGGUAUCGAUGUUUUUCUCUUACUCUUAAUAAAUAUCUUGUAUUUGCUGAUGUUGCAUUUUUUGAGUCAAUCAUCUGUGUAAGAGGGUCUAGGGAAGGAGGAUGAUCUCUUAAUAUAUAUUGUCCAACCAAUGUCUAAUCCUCUCCCACAGCCUGUUCCUUC